rnacentral:lncRNA from 1 species
UCUUCCCCCUGAGGAAGGGACCCCGGGCAGCCGGAGAGCUCAUUGCCGCCUUUGAACUCAUUGAACUAGACUACAGUGGCCGACUUGAGCCCUCAGUGCCCAGUGAUGUGGAGCCCCAGGAUCUGGCACCCCUGGUUGAGCCCCACUCUGGACGCCUGUCCCUUCCACCCAACGUGUGCCCAGUGCUCAGGGAGUUCCGUGUUGAGGUGCUGUUCUGGGGUCUUAGGGGACUUGGUCGUGUGCAUCUGUUCGAGGUGGAGCAGCCCCAGGUUGUACUGGAGGUGGCUGGGCAACGUGUGGAGUCUGAGGUCCUGGCCAGCUACCGUGAGAGACCCAAUUUCACUGAGCUUGUCAGGCAUCUGACAGUGGACUUGCCGGAGCAGCCUUACUUGCAGCCUCCACUCAGCAUCUUGGUGAUUG